UACGUAGGGUGCAAGCGUUAAUCGGAAUUACUGGGCGUAAAGCGUGCGCAGGCGGUUUUGUAAGUCUGUCGUGAAAGCCCCGGGCUCAACCUGGGAAUUGCGAUGGAGACUGCAAGGCUUGAAUCUGGCAGAGGGGGGUAGAAUUCCACGUGUAGCAGUGAAAGGCGUAGAGAUGUGGAGGAACACCGAUGGCGAAGGCAGCCCCCUGGGUCAAGAUUGACGCUCAUGCACGAAAGCGUGGGGAGCAAACAGG
rnacentral:rRNA from 1 species